AGAGUUUGAUCAUGGCUCAGAUUGAACGCUGGCGGCAUGCCCUUAACACAUGCAAGUCGAACGGUAACGGGCCUUCGGGUGCCGACGAGUGGCGAACGGGUGAGUAAUGUAUCGGAACGUACCUUUCAGUGGGGGAUAACGUAGCGAAAGUUACGCUAAUACCGCAUAUUCUGUGAGCAGGAAAGCAGGGGAUCGCAAGACCUUGCGCUGAUUGAGCGGCCGAUAUCAGAUUAGCUAGUUGGUGAGGUAAAGGCUCACCAAGGCGACGAUCUGUAGCGGGUCCGAGAGGAUGAUCCGCCACACUGGAACUGAGACACGGUCCAGACUCCUACGGGAGGCAGCAGUGGGGAAUUUUGGACAAUGGGGGCAGCCCUGAUCCAGCCAUGCCGCGUGAGUGAAGAAGGCCUUCGGGUUGUAAAGCUCUUUCGGCCGGGAAGAAAUCGUAUGGGCUAAUACCCUGUGCGGAUGACGGUACCGGCAUAAGAAGCACCGGCUAACUACGUG
rnacentral:rRNA from 1 species